GGGGAAUUUUGGACAAUGGGCGCAAGCCUGAUCCAGCCAUGCCGCGUGAGUGAAGAAGGCCUUCGGGUUGUAAAGCUCUUUCAGGUGGAAAGAAAUCGCACUUUUUAAUACAGGGUGUGGAUGACGGUACCAUCAGAAGAAGCACCGGCUAACUACGUGCCAGCAGCAGCGGUAAUACGUAGGGUGCGAGCGUUAAUCGGAAUUACUGGGCGUAAAGCGUGCGCAGGCGGUUAUGUAAGACAGAUGUGAAAACCCCGGGCCCAACCUGGGAACUGCGUUUGUGACUGCAUAACUAGAGUACGGCAGAGGGAGGUGGAAUUCCGCGUGUAGCAGUGAAAUGCGUAGAGAUGCGGAGGAACACCGAUGGCGAAGGCAGCCUCCUGGGCCAGUACUGACGCUCAUGCACGAAAGCGUGGGGAGCAAAC
rnacentral:rRNA from 1 species